UACGUAGGGUGCAAGCGUUGUCCGGAAUUAUUGGGCGUAAAGAGCUCGUAGGCGGUCUGUCGCGUCGGCUGUGAAAUCCCGAGGCUCAACCUCGGGUCUGCAGUCGAUACGGGCAAACUGGAGUGUUGCAGGGGAGACUGGAAUUCCUGGUGUAGCGGUGAAAUGCGCAGAUAUCAGGAGGAACACCGGUGGCGAAGGCGGAUCUCUGGGCCGUAACUGACGCUGAGGUGCGAAAGCGUGGGGAGCAAACAGG
rnacentral:rRNA from 1 species